UUUAUGGAGAGUUUGAUCCUGGCUCAGGAUGAACGCUGGCGGCGUGCCUAAUACAUGCAAGUCGAGCGAACGGACGAGAAGCUUGCUUCUCUGAUGUUAGCGGCGGACGGGUGAGUAACACGUGGAUAACCUACCUAUAAGACUGGGAUAACUUCGGGAAACCGGAGCUAAUACCGGAUAAUAUUUUGAACCGCAUGGUUCAAAAGUGAAAGACGGUCUUGCUGUCACUUAUAGAUGGAUCCGCGCUGCAUUAGCUAGUUGGUAAGGCAACGGCUUACCAAGGCAACGAUGCAUAGCCGACCUGAGAGGGUGAUCGGCCACACUGGAACUGAGACACGGUCCAGACUCCUACGGGAGGCAGCAGUAGGGAAUCUUCCGCAAUGGGCGAAAGCCUGACGGAGCAACGCCGCGUGAGUGAUGAAGGUCUUCGGAUCGUAAAACUCUGUUAUUAGGGAAGAACAUAUGUGUAAGUAACUGUGCACAUCUUGACGGUACCUAAUCAGAAAGCCACGGCUAACUACGUGCCAGCAGCCGCGGUAAUACGUAGGUGGCAAGCGUUAUCCGGAAUUAUUGGGCGUAAAGCGCGCGUAGGCGGUUUUUUAAGUCUGAUGUGAAAGCCCACGGCUCAACCGUGGAGGGUCAUUGGAAACUGGAAAACUUGAGUGCAGAAGAGGAAAGUGGAAUUCCAUGUGUAGCGGUGAAAUGCGCAGAGAUAUGGAGGAACACCAGUGGCGAAGGCGACUUUCUGGUCUGUAACUGACGCUGAUGUGCGAAAGCGUGGGGAUCAAACAGGAUUAGAUACCCUGGUAGUCCACGCCGUAAACGAUGAGUGCUAAGUGUUAGGGGGUUUCCGCCCCUUAGUGCUGCAGCUAACGCAUUAAGCACUCCGCCUGGGGAGUACGACCGCAAGGUUGAAACUCAAAGGAAUUGACGGGGACCCGCACAAGCGGUGGAGCAUGUGGUUUAAUUCGAAGCAACGCGAAGAACCUUACCAAAUCUUGACAUCCUUUGACAACUCUAGAGAUAGAGCUUUCCCCUUCGGGGGACAAAGUGACAGGUGGUGCAUGGUUGUCGUCAGCUCGUGUCGUGAGAUGUUGGGUUAAGUCCCGCAACGAGCGCAACCCUUAAGCUUAGUUGCCAUCAUUAAGUUGGGCACUCUAAGUUGACUGCCGGUGACAAACCGGAGGAAGGUGGGGAUGACGUCAAAUCAUCAUGCCCCUUAUGAUUUGGGCUACACACGUGCUACAAUGGACAAUACAAAGGGCAGCGAAACCGCGAGGUCAAGCAAAUCCCAUAAAGUUGUUCUCAGUUCGGAUUGUAGUCUGCAACUCGACUACAUGAAGCUGGAAUCGCUAGUAAUCGUAGAUCAGCAUGCUACGGUGAAUACGUUCCCGGGUCUUGUACACACCGCCCGUCACACCACGAGAGUUUGUAACACCCGAAGCCGGUGGAGUAACCUUUUAGGAGCUAGCCGUCGAAGGUGGGACAAAUGAUUGGGGUGAAGUCGUAACAAGGUAGCCGUAUCGGAAGGUGCGGCUGGAUCACCUCCUUU
rnacentral:rRNA from 1 species